rnacentral:lncRNA from 1 species
UAAAUUAAUUAAUUAUCCUAAUCCCAUUUGGUUUUUGAGUUGCAUUUAAUGUUCUUGAUUGUGAUGCUUGGAAUCUAAUUUUGUUGCUCUGUGUUGGAAAUUUCGCCUUCAUUUGUUGCUCUGACAUUUGCAACACCUACAUUGUGUUGGGUUUGAGUAUGAGUUGGGUUUAACGUAAUCUUAUAAGAUUGGCUUGCAAAGUGAGACUAAAUCCAC